rnacentral:lncRNA from 1 species
CCAAUCCAAUAUAAGGCACAGAAACUGCAAACUGACCCUGAAACCUGAAUGACGACAAAGUAGUACACAACUCCUGCAGUACAGAAGGCAGAAAUAUUAUAGCCCAAACUUAAUUAAAUAUUCCAUAAAAACCCGUGAUAAACUUACAUACACAUCAUAUCCUUAUUACAGUGUGUCGCAUUAUUCUAGCUAUAGGAAGCUGCUACAGUUAGUAGCUUCCAUCCUGGCUGCCGGUGGCAUGCAACACUAGUGUCUCGAUCGUGAGUCCAGGCCCCAGCCCCGACAUGACUCCCCAUUGGCANNNN